rnacentral:rRNA from 1 species
CCUACGGGUGGCAGCAGUGAGGAAUAUUGGUCAAUGGACGAGAGUCUGAACCAGCCAAGUAGCGUGAAGGAUGACUGCCCUAUGGGUUGUAAACUUCUUUUAUAUGGGAAUAAAAUGUUCCACGUGUGGGAUUUUGUAUGUACCAUAUGAAUAAGGAUCGGCUAACUCCGUGCCAGCAGCCGCGGUAAUACGGAGGAUCCGAGCGUUAUCCGGAUUUAUUGGGUUUAAAGGGAGCGUAGGUGGAUUGUUAAGUCAGUUGUGAAAGUUUGCGGCUCAACCGUAAAAUUGCAGUUGAAACUGGCAGUCUUGAGUACAGUAGAGGUGUGCGGAAUGCGUGGUGUAGCGGUGAAAUGCUUAGAUAUCACGAAGAACUCCGAUUGCGAAGGCAGUUCACUGGACUGCAACUGACACUGAGGCUCGAAAGUGUGGGUAUCAAACAGGAUUAGAUACCCUUGUAGUC